rnacentral:rRNA from 1 species
UGGGGAAUAUUGCACAAUGGGCGCAAGCCUGAUGCAGCCAUGCCGCGUGUAUGAAGAAGGCCUUCGGGUUGUAAAGUACUUUCAGCGGGGAGGAAGGGAGUAAAGUUAAUACCUUUGCUCAUUGACGUUACCCGCAGAAGAAGCACCGGCUAACUCCGUGCCAGCAGCCGCGGUAAUACGGAGGGUGCAAGCGUUAAUCGGAAUUACUGGGCGUAAAGCGCACGCAGGCGGUUUGUUAAGUCAGAUGUGAAAUCCCCGGGCUCAACCUGGGAACUGCAUCUGAUACUGGCCAGCUUGAGUCUCGUAGAGGGGGGUAGAAUUCCAGGUGUAGCGGAGAAAUGCGUAGAGAUCUGGAGGAAUACCGGUGGCGAAGGCGGCCCCCUGGACGAAGACUGACGCUCAGGUGCGAAAGCGUGGGGAGCAAACAGG